GGGCCGGUAGCUCAGCCUGGUAGAGCAUCUGACUUUUAAUCAGGUGGUCGCGAGUCCGAAUCUCGUCCGGCCCA
rfam:Candidatus Woesearchaeota archaeon CG1_02_33_12 cg1_0.2_scaffold_17564_c, whole genome shotgun sequence.